rnacentral:lncRNA from 1 species
ACACCGCCGUCCGCGGGCUGAGCUUCAGUGACACCGAAGGGCACUGGCCAACAUGUCAAAACAGUUUUGAUUCCAUGAACCAAAGGGCGCACAAGGUCUAUUGCAAGCUCAGGUGAAGUCGUGGGACUCCAAAGGUAGUGGCUUUCUUGCUGCUGGUCGAUUUGCAUUACAGAGGCCGUUUACUUUCAAUUCCACUUUUACAAAAGUAGUCAAGCUCUGUAUUUCACAGGAAAUUGCUUUGGAGAUGAGGAAACAAACUCUUAUGGAGACCUAAGAGACUGAAGACAUCUGGCGUGGACUACUCUGAUGGUAAAAUUGAAAGUACACCUAAAUUUGCUUUGUUACAGGAUUCUCUUCAGAGGACAAGAGAAGAUGUUACAUUCUCUGCAUGAGGACAAUUCUGCAGCAUCAAAAUCGAAUAAUAUUUGUUUUCUGGCAGCAGAAUUUUGUAUCAUAUUUCUAAAGACAGUAAGCACUUGGGUGGACGUCAAUGAAUACUAAACACUAAUUGAUCUGAUACAGCCGUAUGCACAUACACAGAUAUACAUGGUGGCUUGU